GGGAAACUGGGUACUAAUACCGGAUAGGACAGCUGUUUAGAUGUACAGUUGUGGAAAGUUUUUUCGGUGCAAGAUGAGACUCGCGGACUAUCAGCUUGUUAGGUGGGGUAAUGGGCCUACCAAGGCGUCGACGGGUAGCCGGCCUGAGAGGGUGUACGGCCACAUUGGGACUGAGAUACGGCCCAGACUCCUACGGGAGGCAGCAGUGGGGAAUAUUGCACAAUGGGCGGAAGCCUGAUGCAGCGACGCCGCGUGGGGGAUGAAGGCCUUCGGGUUGUAAACUCCUUUCGACAGGGACGAAGCGUAAGUGACGGUACCUGUCAUAAGAAGCACACGGCUAACUACGUGCCAGCACCNGCGGUAAUACGUAGGGUGCGAGCGUUGUCCGGAAUUACUGGGCGUAAAGAGCUCGUAGGUGGUUUGUCGCGUCGUCUGGUGAAAUUCCGGGGCUUAACUCCGGGCGUGCAGGCGAUACGGGCUGACUUGAGUGCUGUACCCCGAGACUGGAAUUCCUGGUGUAGCGUGAAAUGCGCAGAUAUCAGGAGGAACACCGAUGCGAAGGCAGGUCUCUGGGCAGUAACUGACGCUGAGGAGCGAAAGCAUGGGUAGCGAACAGGAUUAGAUACCCUGGUAGUCCAUGCCGUAAACGGUCCCGCGCUAGUGUAGGGGGCUUCCACGUCUUCUGUGCCUAGCUAACGCAUAAGCGCCC
rnacentral:rRNA from 1 species